GGACGAACGCUGGCGGCGUGCCUAAUACAUGCAAGUGGAACGCAUGAUUGAUACCGUAGCUUGCUACACCAUUAAUCAUGAGUCGCGAACGGGUGAGUAACGCGUAGGUAACCUGCCUACUAGCGGGGGAUAACUAUUGGAAACGAUAGCUAAUACCGCAUAAGAGUUUUUUAACACAUGUUAGAAAUUUAAAAGGAGCAAAUGCUUCACUAGUAGAUGGACCUGCGUUGUAUUAGCUAGUUGGUAAGGUAACGGCUUACCAAGGCGACGAUACAUAGCCGACCUGAGAGGGUGAUCGGCCACACUGGGACUGAGACACGGCCCAGACUCCUACGGGAGGCAGCAGUAGGGAAUCUUCGGCAAUGGGGGGAACCCUGACCGAGCAACGCCGCGUGAAGUGAAGAAGGUUUUCGGAUCGUAAAGCUCUGUUGUAAGAGAAGAACGUUGAGUAGAGUGGAAAGUUACUCAAGUGACGGUAUCUUACCAGAAAGGGACGGCUAACUACGUGCCAGCCGCCGC
rnacentral:rRNA from 1 species